rnacentral:rRNA from 1 species
UACGGAGGGUGCGAGCGUUGUCCGGAAUCACUGGGCGUAAAGGGUGCGUAGGCGGGUCUUUAAGUCAGGGGUGAAAUCCUGGAGCUCAACUCCAAGAACUGCCUUUGAUACUGAGGAUCUUGAGUUCGGGAGAGGUGAGUGGAACUGCGAGUGUAGAGGUGAAAUUCGUAGAUAUUCGCAAGAACACCAGUGGCGAAGGCGGCUCACUGGCCCGAUACUGACGCUGAGGCACGGAAAGCGUGGGG